UGGGGAAUAUUGCACAAUGGACGGAAGUCUGAUGCAGCAACGCCGCGUGCGGGAUGACGGCCUUCGGGUUGUAAACCGCUUUUUCUCAUGACGAAGUUUUUUGACGGUAGUGGGGGAAGAAGCACCGGCUAACUACGUGCCAGCAGCCGCGGUGAUACGUAGGGUGCGAGCGUUGUCCGGAAUUAUUGGGCGUAAAGAGCUUGUAGGCGGUUUGUCGCGUCGAUAGUGCAAACUCAGUGCUUAACGCUGAGCCUGCUGUUGAUACGGGCAGACUAGAGGAAGGUAAGGGAGAGUGGAAUUCCCGGUGGAGCGGUGGAAUGCGCAGAUAUCGGGAGGAACACCGGUGGCGAAGGCGGUUCUCUGGGCCUUUCCUGACGCUGAGAAGCGAAAGCGUGGGGAGCGAACAGG
rnacentral:rRNA from 1 species